rnacentral:rRNA from 1 species
UACGUAGGUGGCAAGCGUUUGUCCGGAAUUAUUGGGCGUAAAGCGCGCGCAGGCGGUUUCUUAAGUCUGAUGUGAAAGCCCCCGGCUCAACCGGGGAGGGUUAUUGGAAACUGGGAAACUUGAGUGCAGAAGAGGAAAGUGGAAUUCCAAGUGUAGCGGUGAAAUGCGUAGAGAUUUGGAGGAACACCAGUGGCGAAGGCGACUUUCUGGUCUGUAACUGACGCUGAGGCGCGAAAGCGUGGGGAGCAAACAGG